rnacentral:lncRNA from 1 species
AUAUCCACAUAGAUAGGACCUGAAAUGUCUUCUCCUCAUAAAUCUAUGCUCCAAAAAUUAGAUGUCUAUCUGAUUUGAAAGUACUUCAGAACUCCUUCUAAAGUUGGAGCAGCAGCCUGUCGAAGAUGUGCUGCAGCCUUCCUGUUCCAGGCAUCACCACGCCUUGGACCUUUGCCAGAUGGAUGUCCAACUCCUUGGAUGUGAAGAGGGG